rnacentral:lncRNA from 1 species
AACCGUUCCACCCGUCGUCGUUCGGGACUUCGCUCACCUUUCAGGCCCCUUAAGGCCUUUGUCCGUUGUCGUCAGGACUAGGUUUUCUAAUUUGGGUAACUUGAUGAGUGGUGCUGCCAAUACUGGAAUUAAGAAAUAUAAAUUUAAUGCUUGGAUUGAUGAUAUAACUCAGUGAAGAGACUGACCAUGCUUGUUCACGUUUCAUAAAAAGAACAUAAAAAAUAGAUUUCUCUUCAUGGCGAACAGAAGAUCUCACUUCUCAAUCUACUGCCAUCAUGGGACCAUGACCUAAAUAUCUCAACUUAAGGCAAGAAAAUAAAGUACAAGUAAACCAAGCUUGAAUUUCUCAUGUUACAGAAGAUGCAUUCAGGAUAAUAUUUUAUAUUAUUGAGAAAAAGCAAAAGAAAAUCAGAUAUUUGUAUUGAUGAAAAAAAAAGUUGUUCUUGGCCAAAAACAUCAAUCAGCCUCAUCUCCAGAGUGAUCCUCCAAACUCAGGGAGAAUUGUCAUCCUCCUUAGCCACCUCAUGAGUGCAUUGAAGAGGAUGACCUGCUUAGUUAUUCUGCUUCCCGAAUACAAAAAAUUAGCCUUCUGAAAUCAAACAUAAGAAGUCAUUGUUGCUUUUAUUCCAGCUUUCCGGAACUGAUUUUCUAUCUCAGUGCUAACUACUGUGAUUCCAGGACUUUACUUAGAUUUGCAGCUGCAAGCCCAUAUAACUGUUGCAAAUCUCAGGAAGAAGAAAAAUGUUUCCUUUUCUCUGCAGUUCCAUAGAAUAAUCCAUAUUAUAGAACUACUACUAUAACUUUAAAGGUUAAAUGUUACCUUGUAAGAGAAAUAAAAUUUUGAUUGGCUAUUUAAUAAUUGUGGCCCUUAAAAUAACAUUUAAUUUUCUAUUUUAUGAUAGUAAUAAAUGUAAGUUUCAUUUGUCAAACCGUAAGUCCAUUGGCCAUUAUUAUUUUUUUCUUUCUACAUGCAUCACACUUGCAGCAUAAGUGACAAUAAUAAACAUGAAAACGAUGGCAAUGAAAAUAAAAUAUCUAUUAAACGUAUUUGAUUUAAUAUUUGGAAA